rnacentral:lncRNA from 1 species
CAGAUUGAGAGCGGCCUAGACAGGUUGUGUGACUUCGCCCCCAAUCCCCUGAGGCCUAAGUGUGAGAACUUGGUCCAACAACGCGGGUCACUUCUGGUCCAACUGCUGCAGCAGAUUCCUAAAGACCGUCUGUGCAUCCUCAUCUGCCGCUCCAACAACGCUGAAAACUAGAUCUAGAGGAAGAUUGUGUGAGCCCCUGCUGUGAGUGAGAUGAAGGACCGAGUGUGUAUAGUUGUCGCGGGAAUUGUCUCCACGAAGUUCGGCCACGCCAGGGAGUGCGUCCAUGCCAUGUCCACACGGGUGACGUCACAAGACCUCGUCCCAUCGGUCACUCUGUUCGUCCGUUGGUGCUCCACUUCUUGCCACAGCAGGCCCGCGUCUUCCCCAGUCUCUGAUGACGUAUUAUGUAGACCAUUGUUGGCUUGUUUUAUGUAGUAGACCAUUGUUGGCUUCUUGUUUUAUGAUGUUGUAGACAACUAUUGUAUUUGUUGUAGACCGCUGUUGAUGUAGCUCUAUUGUUUUAUAAAGUUGUAGACCAUUUGUGCUUUUAUGAAGUUGUAGAUCACUGGAUCUCACGUUCAUCAGUGUCUUUCUUCGUCUCUUUGCCUUGCAGCACUUGAUCAGACUUGUACAAGACUACGUACAAAAGGUGAAACUCUGUGAAAUUACAGAAUGUUUAGACGAUUUGUAUGUCGUCCUUGUUCAGCUUGCUUAGAAUUUCAAAUUGUUAUUCACAACCCUCAAUGGUAAUUGAUGGUACGAUAUGCACG